UGUCUGUAAACAAAUGCGUCAACGAUAUAAUUAUGUAUUUGGCACUUGACGCGUGACAAUGACAAAUGAUUUUUACACAUCGAUAUGUAGCACAAAAAAUGGAAAAAUAUACUUGGUAGACAAAGCCAUCAACACCUAACCCAUUUCCGAAAUGCUUUAACCACGUAGGCCACGUAGCGAACACCAAACAACAAGUAGGUAUAGUUGCCAUCAGAUAUCUCGGAGUGACAAAGGUUUAUUUCAGAUAUUUGUGAACACCGAAGCAGCUCCGAUAUAUCUGAUGGCGACUAUACGCGUAGGCGUUCUGUCUGGAGAUGUUUUUGACCACAUACACUGAAUAAGAACCUCGGGUAAUUCGUAAGACCACCUACAAUUCUAUCACAUCAAUCAGAGUCAAUUUUCGGAGUUACCCUAAGUAACUGAUAAGACACGAGGAAGAAAUCUCACAGGAACGAAUUAAAGUUUGCGAAAAUGCCCCACUCUAUCUACGCUAAACAAACAAAUUACAAUAUGUUAAUAAUAUUAUACCUAUAUGUUUUUUUUAUUGAAUCCAAACGGAUAAUUAUGAAACUAUGUAUAAUCAAAGGUCACACGGGCGGCCCCGGCCCUCUAGCUAUGUUUAUAUGAUAACGCGGACCGCGCCCAAGUGCAAACAUGAACAUGUCAUUAUUAUUAAUAGUUGUUGAUUAAUUAAGCACUGAUUAACUGCCAUAUUUAUGUGAGAACUUGUUAUGUUCUGUCAAACGGGUACCUAUGGAAAAACAAAAAUGUGUCUGUACCAUUGCUCGAACGUUAAGGGGUUUUAGAUGUAUAGUAUAAUAAUAUCACUCAAUUAUGCAUGUGCGUUUCGCUCAUCGAUUUUUUUACUAGUAUGUUAAUAAAAUCGCUCUUUGCUUUGGCCACAACCACAAAAUAGUACUUUAUACAACCGUGGUAUAUAAAGAGAAAAAGGCGAGUGGCGUGGGUUACAAUGUGAGCCGUUGCCGUAGGCGAGCAUUGUAAAGAAAUAUGCCACGAGCAUUUUUGACCUACUUAUACAACGUCACACACAAUAGUACCUAUUUCGUAAACAGAAGAAAUGUUCACGGAAUAUUAAAAUAUUUUAUUCCAUUUUUUAUACUUUUGCAUAUAAAUUUUUUUUUUGUAAAAUCUUAAAUAAACUGGUCAAUUUGUUAUAGUCAGGGUGAGUAAUGAAAAGCAUCUGCUAUGGCAAUAAUAAAUACAUGUGGUGUUGCUCGAUGAGCAUAAGGACCAUGGAGAACUCGUAUUUAAUUUCGUAUUACAGUACAAUCUCAUUAUCUCACUAAUGCUGACUAAGAGGGUUAUUGGAAAAUUCGGAUUACUGGAAGUAAGAGCAUAUCUGCUUAUUAUAUUGAUGUGUUUUUUAGUAUGUCAAAGUUAUACACUAUAUACUAAAUUAAAAGAAAAUUGUACUGUUAUCUGGUUUUAAGGAAUAUAUUCAAGAGUGAUCUGAUAAUGUAAGCGCACGUAGUAAAUUUAGACAUAGAAUGAUCACUUGCACCCCUAUUUUAGUGCCGGAUCACUGGGUGUACCGGACCAUCGAAGUGUCGGAUUAUCGAGAUUAGAUCUGGAACUAUGCCGGAACUUUAUAUGUACUAAAUUUCUGACUUGAGUCACUGGUCAAACAAUAAGCCAUUCGAUAUUGGCAAAGAGAAUUGAUUGUAAUAGAGAGGUAAAGUCUAAGAAAAAAACGUGCCUCUUAGUUUGACAUCCAAAACAGAUGUCGCUGUACUGCGCCAUGUGUUUAUCGGUCACUGAAUUGUCAAACGUCAAUUUUUGACAAUCAGAGUUACAGCAAAAUGUAUGGAGCUGUACAGCGCCAUCUCGUUUACCUGUUAAAUUCUAAGCACGUAAUUUUCUUAGACUUCACGCGUCUUACUCAAUCAAUGUAUCUUUGAUAUUGGUCAUGUUUAAACUUCCUUAAUUGUAGUUUUUGCUUUGUAAGACGUGGCUAAGGAUUGAAUUUUGUAUUUUUAAUCCUAUCUGACACGCGAACGGCACAUUAUACUUAUCACUGAGCUGUGUAUUCUAUAACAACAACUCUCUUGACUGACCAUAUCCGUGGACCUUAUGGCUUUGCAAUAAGAUUUACGAAUUAUCAGUUAAUCUGUCCGCAAACUGACGACCGAUAUCAUAUAACUAUCUUUUUCACUCCUGCUACGACUAUGCAAUGCAAGUAUGAAUGAGAAGUUUUACGUUUACUACCCCGGCCGUCAGUUUGGUUUGCGGAUAGUAUAACAAUGUGGAGUGGACGUAUUAAAGCAGGUAAAACGGGAAUAAUUGUAGUAUUUAAAUGGUGUUUUUAAGAAUUAAGAAAGCCAAUUAAGUAAUGACCCUAAUACUUCAUCAGAUAGUUAUUGUAGGGAAAGUAUGCCUACAGGUCAUAUGUUUAAUUGGUAUUAAAGUGAACGGCUUUCAUAAACGAACGUUAUUUUACUAGAAUUAUGAGAUCACAAGGCAAAGUUUUAGAAUAUUUUAGACAGUUUAACGAAAACGUACGAAUACAAUAUAAUUGUUUAUUUUGUGACAAAGUCUACACCGUCAAAAAUGUUAUUCGGUUUGCACAGCAUUUGGUGAAGUAUUGCCAAAACUGCCCUAUUGACAUUAAGUCCAGAUUUAAAAAAAGGGAAGUAGAAGCUAUGUGUCUGUUGCCGCAGCUGAAGUCGAACAUUUGCAAUCAUCAGGAAGAGAACCGCUCGAUGUGAUGAAACAGUAGCAGAGGUCAAAAAAAUCUACUUUUUCCUAAUCAGAAAACGAUACCGAAAAUGCCCUUAAACGGAUCCCAACUAUUUUUGUUUCACCUUGUAUUAUUAUGAAAUUAAUUUAAGACUGUGAUUUUGUCAUUA